rnacentral:snoRNA from 1 species
UAAAAAUGAUGGAUGAACUCUAGAGAUGAGACGCUGAGGAUGCAGAGAAGAAUGUAUGGAAUAGGAGUCUGGAUGAUGAAAAAGGAGAUUUUGAAGUCAUUCGUCUAGA